rnacentral:rRNA from 1 species
UACGAAGGGGGCUAGCGUUGUUCGGAAUAACUGGGCGUAAAGCGCAUGUAGGCGGAUCUUUAAGUCAGAGGUGAAAUCCCAGGACUCAACCCCGGCAUUGCCUUUGAUACUGGAGAUCUGGAGUCUGGGAGAGGUGAGUGGAAUUCCGAGUGUAGAGGUGAAAUUCGUAGAUAUUCGGAGGAACACCAGUGGCGAAGGCGGCUCACUGGCCCGAGACUGACGCUGAGAUGCGAAAGCGUGGGGAGCAAACAGG